UACGGAGGGUGUAAGCGUUAUCCGGAUUCACUGGGUUUAAAGGGUGCGUAGGCGGAUAGGUAAGUCAGAGGUGAAAUCUCCGAGCUUAACUCGGAAACUGCCUUUGAUACUAUCUAUCUUGAAUAUUGUGGAGGUAAGCGGAAUAUGUCAUGUAGCGGUGAAAUGCUUAGAUAUGACAUAGAACACCUAUUGCGAAGGCAGCUUACUACGCAUAUAUUGACGCUGAGGCACGAAAGCGUGGGGAUCAAACAGG
rnacentral:rRNA from 1 species